rnacentral:rRNA from 1 species
GACGAACGCUGGCGGCGUGCUUAACACAUGCAAGUCGAACGAAGAGCGAUGGACGCUUGCUUCUAUCAAUCUUAGUGGCGAACGGGUGAGUAACGCGUAAUCAACCUGCCCUUCAGAGGGGGACAACAGUUGGAAACGACUGCUAAUACCGCAUACGAUCUAAACUCGGCAUCGAGGAUAGAUGAAAGGUGGCCUCUACAUGUAAGCUAUCACUGAAGGAGGGGAUUGCGUCUGAUUAGCUGGUUGGAGGGGUAACGGCCCACCAAGGCGAUGAUCAGUCGCCGGUCUGAGAGGAUGAACGGCCACAUUGGGACUGAGACACGGCCCAGACUCCUACGGGAGGCAGCAGUGGGGAAUCUUCCGCAAUGGACGAAAGUCUGACGGAGCAACGCCGCGUGAGUGAUGACGGCCUUCGGGUUGUAAAGCUCUGUUAAUCGGGACGAAAGGCCUUCUUGCGAAUAGUGAGAAGGAUUGACGGUACCGGAAUAGAAAGCCACGGCUAACUACGUG